CAGUAGCCGCGGUAAUACGUAGGGGGCUAGCGUUGUCCGGAAUCAUUGGGCGUAAAGCGCGUGUAGGCGGCUUGACAAGUCUGCUGUGAAAGUCCAGGGCUCAACCCUGGAAUGCCGGUGGAAACUGUCAAGCUAGAGUCCGGAAGGGGAGUGUGGAAUUCCUGGUGUAGCGGUGAAAUGCGCAGAUAUCAGGAGGAACACCAAUGGCGAAGGCAGCACUCUGGGACGUGACUGACGCUGAGACGCGAAAGCGUGGGGAGCAAACAGGAUUAGAUACCCCCGUAGUCCCUGUCUCUAUACA
rnacentral:rRNA from 1 species